rnacentral:rRNA from 1 species
AUACGGAGGGUGCAAGCGUUAUCCGGAAUCAUUGGGUUUAAAGGGUCCGUAGGCGGGCGAUUAAGUCAGAGGUGAAAUCCCACAGCUCAACUGUGGAACUGCCUUUGAUACUGGUUGUCUUGAGUUACAGUGAAGUAGAUAGAAUGUGUAGUGUAGCGGUGAAAUGCAUAGAUAUUACACAGAAUACCGAUUGCGAAGGCAGUCUACUAACUGUAUACUGACGCUAAUGGACGAAAGCGUGGGGAGCGAACAGGAUUAGAUACCCGAGUAGUCC